rnacentral:rRNA from 1 species
UGCCAGACUCCUACGGGAGGCAGCAGUGGGGGAUAUUGCACAAUGGGGGGAACCCUGAUGCAGCGACGCCGCGUGGGUGAAGAAGUAUUUCGGUAUGUAAAGCCCUAUCGGCAGGGAAGAAAUUGGACGGUACCUGACUAAGAAGCCCCGGCUAACUACGUGCCAGCAGCCGCGGUAAUACGUAGGGGGCAAGCGUUAUCCGGAUUCACUGGGUGUAAAGGGAGCGUAGACGGCCAUGCAAGCCUGGAGUGAAAGCCCGGGGCCCAACCCCGGGACUGCUCUGGGAACUGUGCGGCUGGAGUGCGGGAGGGGCAGGCGGAAUUCCUAGUGUAGCGGUGAAAUGCGUAGAUAUUAGGAGGAACACCAGUGGCGAAGGCGGCCUACUGGACGGUGACUGACGCUGAGGCUCGAAAGCGUGGGGAGCAAACAGGAUUAGAUACCCUGGUAUC